rnacentral:rRNA from 1 species
UACAGAGGUCUCAAGCGUUGUUCGGAUUCAUUGGGCGUAAAGGGUGCGUAGGCGGCGCCGUAAGUCGGGUGUGAAAUUUCGGAGCUUAACUCCGAAACUGCAUUCGAUACUGCGGUGCUUGAGGACUGGAGAGGAGACUGGAAUUCAUGGUGUAGCAGUGAAAUGCGUAGAGAUCAUGAGGAAGACCAGUGGCGAAGGCGGGUCUCUGGGCCGAUACUGACGCUGAGGAGCGAAAGCGUGGGGAGCGAACAGG